rnacentral:rRNA from 1 species
UGGGGAAUAUUGCACAAUGGGCGCAAGCCUGAUGCAGCCAUGCCGCGUGUGUGAAGAAGGCCUUCGGGUUGUAAAGCACUUUCAGCGAGGAGGAAGGGUAGUGUGUUAAUAGCACAUUGCAUUGACGUUACUCGCAGAAGAAGCACCGGCUAACUCCGUGCCAGCAGCCGCGGUAAUACGGAGGGUGCAAGCGUUAAUCGGAAUUACUGGGCGUAAAGCGCACGCAGGCGGUUUGUUAAGUCAGAUGUGAAAUCCCCGCGCUUACGUGGAACUGC